rnacentral:rRNA from 1 species
GAUGAACGCUAGCGGCAAGCCUAACACAUGCAAGUCGAGGGAGGAGCCUUCGGGCUUCGACCGGCGUACGGGUGCGUAACGCGUAUACAAUCUGCCUUUCACAUAGGGAUAGCCCGAAGAAAUUUGGAUUAAUACCUAAUGGUAUAUAGGAGUGGCAUCACCUUUAUAUUAAAGCUGAGGCGGUGAAAGAUGAGUAUGCGUUCUAUUAGCUAGUUGGAGAGGUAACGGCUCCCCAAGGCGACGAUAGAUAGGGGUUCUGAGAGGGAUAUCCCCCACACUGGUACUGAGAUACGGACCAGACUCCUACGGGAGGCAGCAGUGAGGAAUAUUGGACAAUGGUCGGAAGACUGAUCCAGCCAUGCCGCGUGCAGGAAGACGGCCUUAUGGGUUGUAAACUGCUUUUGCAGGGGAAGAAUAAGGAGUACGUGUACUUUGAUGACG